AGAAAGAAAAAAGUAAUAAAGAAUAUCGGAAUAAUACCAUUAGUAGUAAAAAAUCUGCGAAACUCCUCGACAUUUGAAAAUUUCGUAACGCAGGCUAGAAGGCACGAAGCCGAAAGGACGACGACGCCCGGCAAGGUCAUCGACAAGCGAGCAACAAAGACUUUCAAGAGUGAUCAGCAGCUCUCUUGAGGCCUAUUUAACGCGAGGUCGUUCGCCAAGAUUCAAUCAAAUCAAAACGAAGAUUACCGACCCCUUGGCCCGAGAUCACGAUAAAUAUAUCGACGCUCUUUGCUUUGUUUCCGAUUCGCGAAACAAACGGGAACAAUAUUCGGGUCGAGGCGAGCCGAGCGCGAGUUUUCGCAGUUACUGUACAUAAAGGGGAUCGCGUGUCGCUGUUUAAUGUUGUCCACGUUGCUAUGUUGUUAUGUGAAAACUCGAGAGAUCUCGAGAUAGAAAUUAGUCUUCGAAUCGAAAGACUUUCAUCAUCUGAAAGAGUUGUGUUAAACGAGUUAAAAUAUUCUUUUGGAUUAUAAAAAAAAAAAAUUCGACUGAAUCGAGAGAAUAACGCAAAGAAAAAUAAGCUUGAGAUAAAAUGGGAAAAAAAAAAGGAAUGAAUAAGUUUAGGUCGAUUGAAUGUAUAGAUUUUUAUUACUUUUCAUUUCUCGUGUUUCAUUAAAUAUUUAAGUAAUAUGUAAUUUCGCGUGUCAGACAAGUUGACUGAUUAUUUAAUUCGAUUAGAAUCAAACGUUACUCGCGCAUGCUUGAAUUAAGACGGAGCGAAACGUGUGCGGGGAUAUAAUAACACAGCAAGGAGAAAUCAUUGCCAAUCAUCGUGCUUUCCUGUACACUCGCCAUGCACGUACCUUUAAACGCUCGGUGUUCUACUAAUUACGAUUGUGUAGUCAAUGCCAGCACGUUCGCAUAUGGAAAUUGAUACAUCUUGUGUGGAAAACGAACUGCGACUAUAUGUGUAUAUGCGUUUUAAAAAAACCCAUAAAUAUAAUAUCGCAAGUCAGAAAAGUAUCACAAGUUAAGAUAAAAAUGUUUUCAAAAUAAAUGCAUACAACGCAAAAAGUGAAAAAGAGUCGGGUGAUUUAAUCACUAUUAUUUCUUUCCAGAAAAUAUAACGCAAUUCCGUUCUAUUUUUUUCCUUUCUAACAGCCGAGUCGAUUGUCAUCAACUAGUCAAACCGACCAAAUUAUCAAACUCGUUAACACCGUUAAGGGAUUAACUCUCGUAAUUAACCCCUUGAAAAAGCGAAUCAUCUUCUUUCGGUGGCUUCUCAUCUGACAAUUUUUCUUUUUUCUUUUUUUCCAUUGAUAAUUUACUUGCAUCGUGAGACCUCGUCCAUCCAACAUUCUAUGCUAAACGUCACGUGUUUGCGACAACCGCUUCAUUUGCAAUUCAUCUUGUACAUUUUGUACAUGAUGUAAUAGUAAAAAAAAUCUACAUUUUCCGAUC